GAUGAACGCUAGCGGCAGGCCUAAUACAUGCAAGUCGAACGGUUGUUAGCAAUAGCAAUAGUGGCGCACGGGUGCGUAACGCGUAGCCAACCUGCCCAUCACUGGGGGAUAGCCCGCCGAAAGGCGGAUUAAUACCGCAUAAUACUGGUUCCCGGCAUCGGGGGUUAGUUAAAGAUUUAUUGGUGAUGGAUGGGGCUGCGUGCCAUUAGCUGGUUGGCGGGGUAACGGCCCACCAAGGCGACGAUGGCUAGGGGAGCUGAGAGGCUGGUCCCCCACACGGGCACUGAGAUACGGGCCCGACUCCUACGGGAGGCAGCAGUAGGGAAUAUUGGGCAAUGGCCGAGAGGCUGACCCAGCCAUGCCGCGUGCAGGAUGAAGGCUUUCUGAGUCGUAAACUGCUUUUGCCAGGGAAGAAUAAGGGGCGUGCGCGCUCCGACGACGGUACCUGGUGAAUAAGCACCGGCUAACUCCGUGCCAGCAGCCGCCGUAAGAC
rnacentral:rRNA from 1 species